GCAAGUCGAAUGCCGAUUUAUCGGCAUGGCAGACGGCUGAGUAAUACAUGGGAAUCUACCUCAAACUCGAGAAUAGCCCAUCGAAAGGUGGUGCAAUACUCGAUAGUUCCGUUUACGGUAAAGCUCCGGCGGUUUGAGAUGAGCCCAUGUCCUAUCAGGUUGUUGGUGGGGUAAUUGCCUACCAAGCCUAUGACGGGUAGCUGGUUUGAGAGGAUGAUCAGCCAGACUGGGACUGCGAUACGGCCCAGACUCCUACGGGAGGCAGCAACUAGGAAUCAUGCGCAAUGGACGAAAGUCUGACGCUGCGACGUCGCGUGAGGGAUGAAGGUCUUCGGAUCGUAAACCUCUUUUACCUGGGAACAAGUUCUGAGUGUACCAGAUGAAUAAGUGCCUGCCAACCACGUGCCAGAAGCAUCGGUAAUGCGUGGGGCACGGGCGUUAUCCGGAUUUACUGGGCGUAAAGAGAUGCGUAGGCGCCUUUUUAAGUCACUUGUAAAAUCUCCCCGCUCAACGGGGAAACUGCAAGUGAUACUGAAUUGGUUGAGUCAAGUAGAGGAGAGGGGAAUUCCUGGUGGAGCGGUUAAAUGCGUUGAUAUCAGGAGGAAUACCAAGUGCGAAGGCACCUCUCUGGACUUGUACUGACGCUAAGGCUCGAAAGUGUGGGGAGCAAAACGGAUUAGAUACCCGUGUAGUCCACACUGUAAACGAUCCCUGCUAG
rnacentral:rRNA from 1 species